rnacentral:rRNA from 1 species
UGGGGAAUUUUGGACAAUGGGGGAAACCCUGAUCCAGCCAUCCCGCGUGUGCGAUGAAGGCCUUCGGGUUGUAAAGCACUUUUGGCAGGAAAGAAACGUCGCGGGUUAAUACCCCGCGGAACUGACGGUACCUGCAGAAUAAGCACCGGCUAACUACGUGCCAGCAGCCGCGGUAAUACGUAGGGUGCAAGCGUUAAUCGGAAUUACUGGGCGUAAAGCGUGCGCAGGCGGUUCGGAAAGAAAGAUGUGAAAUCCCAGAGCUUAACUUUGGAACUGCAUUUUUAACUACCGGGCUAGAGUGUGUCAGAGGGAGGUGGAAUUCCGCNUGUAGCAGUGAAAUGCGUAGAUAUGCGGAGGAACACCGAUGGCGAAGGCAGCCUCCUGGGAUAACACUGACGCUCAUGCACGAAAGCGUGGGGAGCAAACAGGAUUAGAUACCCUGGUAGUCCACGCCCUAAACGAUGUCAACUAGCUGUUGGGGUCUUCGGACCUUGGUAGCGCAGCUAACGCGUGAAGUUGACCGCCUGGGGAGUACGGUCGCAAGAUUAAAACUCAAA